AUAAUACUCCCUCCGUCCAACAAAACAUGUCUCAAGUUUGUCAAAAUUUGGAUGUAUUUAGACAUAACUUAGUGUAUAAAUGCAUUCAAAUUUAGUGAAAGUGGAGACAUCCUUUGUUGGACAGAGAGAGUAUGUC
rfam:Brachypodium distachyon strain Bd21 chromosome 5, whole genome shotgun sequence.